GGGGGCUGGGGGGGAGCCAGUUUGAUUAUAACUGCAGAACAGCUGAAGCCUUUCAUCCUCGGGGGGAGCCAAAUCACCCUUGUGGGCACAGACGCUGUGUUUUCCUUAUUCUGGAAGGCAUUUCCCGAGACAAACUCUGGAUAUGAUAAUUAUGCUGGUUGACUGACAAGACCUCCAGCUUGGGAAGCAAAAGUACAUAAAUACUAGAAUGAUCUGAUUUUGAUUUCAAACGUGGAGAAGCACGACAAACAUGUUGAGGACCAAAGGUGCAUUUCUACCUUAAAGUCAGAACAGCUCUGGGCAGAUGGCUGCCCUGGGAAGAGCAUUAAAGACGGAGGGAGCUUGCUCUGCCGUAGGACAUGAUGCAUGCUAACCACUUCAGGAGUGACAGAUAAUGACAUGCAGCCUUCAGUAGAGUACACGGUACAUGAUGACAGAAGGUGGAUUCUGAGCACCUCCUGCCUCCAGAAAGAUGGUGAGACACCCAGGCCUUCAGUGCUCUUGGUAACACCUCCCUCAGCAUGUAAAACACAUUAUAAUUUAUAAAAAGCUUUC